GCCCCAUAUCUCCUACGGGGAGGCAAGCAGUAGGGAAUUCUUCCACAAUUGGGCGCAAGCCUGGAUGGAGCAACACCCGCGUGAGUGAAGGAAGGGUUUCGGCUCGUAAAAGCUCUGUUGUUAAAGAAGAACACGUAUGAGAUUAACUGUUCAUACGUUGACGGUAUUUAACCAGAAAGUCACGGCUAACUACGUGCCAGCAGCCGCGGUAAUACGUAGGUGGCAAGCGUUAUCCGGAUUUAUUGGGCGUAAAGAGAGUGCAGGCGGUUUUCUAAGUCUGAUGUGAAAGCCUUCGGCUUAACCGGAGAAGUGCAUCGGAAACUGGAUAACUUGAGUGCAGAAGAGGGUAGUGGAACUCCAUGUGUAGCGGUGGAAUGCGUAGAUAUAUGGAAGAACACCAGUGGCGAAGGCGGCUACCUGGUCUGCAACUGACGCUGAGACUCGAAAGCAUGGGUAGCGAACAGGAUUAGAUACCCUGGUAGUCCAUGCCGUAAACGAUGAGUGCUAGGUGUUGGAGGGUUUCCGCCCUUCAGUGCCGGAGCUAACGCAUUAAGCACUCCGCCUGGGGAGUACGACCGCAAGGUUGAAACUCAAAGGAAUUGACGGGGGCCCGCACAAGCGGUGGAGCAUGUGGUUUAAUUCGAAGCUACGCGAAGAACCUUACCAGGUCUUGACAUCUUGCGCCAACCCUAGAGAUAGGGCGUUUCCUUCGGGAACGCAAUGACAGGUGGUGCAUGGUCGUCGUCAGCUCGUGUCGUGAGAUGUUGGGUUAAGUCCCGCAACGAGCGCAACCCUUGUUACUAGUUGCCAGCAUUAAGUUGGGCACUCUAGUGAGACUGCCGGUGACAAACCGGAGGAAGGUGGGGACGACGUCAGAUCAUCAUGCCCCUUAUGACCUGGGCUACACACGUGCUACAAUGGACGGUACAACGAGUCGCGAACUCGCGAGGGCAAGCAAAUCUCUUAAAACCGUUCUCAGUUCGGACUGCAGGCUGCAACUCGCCUGCACGAAGUCGGAAUCGCUAGUAAUCGCGGAUCAGCAUGCCGCGGUGAAUACGUUCCCGGGCCUUGUACACACCGCCCGUCACACCAUGAGAGUUUGUAACACCCAAAGUCGGUGGGGUAACCUUUUAGG
rnacentral:rRNA from 2 species